UCUUUUGUCAACUCUCAGUUUAAAAAUUUCACGUAAUUAGACGAUUCUUCAAUUCUUUUUAUGCACACAAACUUUCUACAGAUUAUCUUAAAGUUAACGUCUAAUUAUAGUUUUAAUUACUCUCCACUUGUUCCGAUUUCUACAUCUAAUUUUUUGUUCUCUUUCUGUAUUCCAUAGUAAAAUAUAUUCUUUUAUAUUAAAAAAAAACAAUAUAUACUCUCAAAGAGAAGAGACGCAAUCUACCAGUUAACAUUGUUCUCUAAGCUACUGUGAUUCCGAAUACACAUAUUAGUCACUCUCCGUUAAACAACAGCACACAAACGGUUUCUGUGAAACUAUUUAUUUUUAUAUUCUCUUGUUAGACAUCUCUGUAUUCCAUUCCAUCACACCAGUGCAUCUGUACAGUUGUACAUAUAAAAACGAUAUCGUAAUACCAUCAAGUAAAACUCCGCUACGUAAACUUAAAAUGCUUUCAUAAUGAUAGUUGCACUUCUUCAAUAGCACACAUAUACACAAUAUAUAGAUUGGGAAAUAUUAAUAAGAUAUAUAUAUAUAUAUGUAUAAUAUGUAUGAUUUAUGUUUAAAAAGAUCUCCUGUCUAGACAUGAAUGUUUAAACCACUGCGGAUGCUCAGGUAACAUACCUGUGCUUGUGUUUAAACCACUGCUGAUGCUCAGGUAAAAUACCUGUGCUUAUGUUUAAAUCACUGCUGACUAAUAUCACUGCACGAUAAUCAUUACGUGAUCCUGAUAUAUAAUACAUAUAUAUUAUGAUUAUCUGUGAUGUAGUGAAUUUAUCAUAAUGCGUAACUAUCAUGAUUUAGUAAUAUGAUGUAGUAAGUCAUGACGCAGUAAUACCAUGAUGUGGUAGUGUCAUGAUGCAGUAAUAUCAUGAUGUUGCUAUGUCAUGAUGCAGUAAUAUCAUGAUGUCGUAGUGUCAUGAUGCAGUAAUAUCAUGAUGUCGUAGUGUCAUGAUGCAGUAAUAUCAUGAUGCAGUAAUAUCAUGAUGUCGUAGUGUCAUGAUGCAGUAAUAACAUGAUGUCUAGUGCUC